UAAUGGGACUAUGAAGCUUUAUGAGUUUGUCUUAAUAUUUGGAUGCCUAAUGUUAAUACUAGCUCAAAUCCCAUCUUUUCACUCCCUAAGGCACAUCAAUUUGGUGUCUUUGCUUCUUUGCCUAGCUUAUAGUGCCUGUGCCACUGCCAGUUCGGUUCAUAUUGGAAAUUCGUCGAAAGAACUUAAGGAUUAUUCUCUAAAUGGAGACACCCA
rnacentral:misc_RNA from 1 species